UACGUAGGGUGCAAGCGUUGUCCGGAAUUAUUGGGCGUAAAGAGCUCGUAGGCGGUCUGUUGCGUCGGCUGUGAAAACCCGGGGCUCAACCCCGGGCCUGCAGCCGAUACGGGCAGACUAGAGUUCGGCAGGGGAGACUGGAAUUCCUGGUGUAGCGGUGAAAUGCGUAGAUAUCGAGAGGAACACCUGCGGCGAAGGCGGGUUGCUGGGCUGAUACUGACGCUGAGGCGCGAAAGCCAGGGGAGCGAACGGG
rnacentral:rRNA from 1 species